UACGUAGGGGGCAAGCGUUGUCCGGAAUCAUUGGGCGUAAAGAGCGUGUAGGCGGCCCGAUAAGUCCGCUGUGAAAGUCCAGGGCUCAACCCUGGGAUGCCGGUGGAUACUGUCGGGCUCGAGUCCGGAAGAGGAGUGUGGAAUUCCUGGUGUAGCGGUGAAAUGCGCAGAUAUUCGCAAGAACACCAGUGGCGAAGGCGGC
rnacentral:rRNA from 1 species